rnacentral:misc_RNA from 1 species
GAUGAAGAACGUAGCGAAAUGCGAUACGUAAUGUGAAUUGCAGAAUUCAGUGAAUCAUCGAAUCUUUGAACGCAUAUUGCGCUCUCUGGUAUUCCGGAGAGCAUGCUUGUUUGAGUAUCAGUAAACACCUCAACUCCCUUUUCUUUUUUGAAAUUGGAGCUGGACUUGAGUGAUCCCAACGCUUUCUUCCAAGAAAGUGGCGGGUUGCUUGAAAUGCAGGUGCAGCUGAACUUUUCUCUGAGCUAUAAGCAUAUCUAUUUAGUCUGCCUAAAAAACAGAUUAUUACCUUUGCUGCAGCUAACAUAAAGGAGACUAGUUCUUGUGCUGACUGAUGCAGGAUUCACAGAGACAGCUUCGGCUGACUUUGUAAACUCGAUCUCAAAUCAAGUAAGCCUACCCGCUGAACUUAAGCAUAUCAAUAAGCGGAGGA